UACGUAGGGUGCAAGCGUUGUCCGGAAUUAUUGGGCGUAAAGAGCUUGUAGGCGGUUUGUCGCGUCUGCUGUGAAAUUUCGGGGCUCAACCCCGAACUUGCAGUGGGUACGGGCAGACUAGAGUGUGGUAGGGGAGACUGGAAUUCCUGGUGUAGCGGUGAAAUGCGCAGAUAUCAGGAGGAACACCGAUGGCGAAGGCAGGUCUCUGGGGCCGUAACUGACGC
rnacentral:rRNA from 1 species